AAUACUAUUUUGUUUCUCAUCUCGCUUCGAUGCUCUUAAACCCUAACCCUCUUGGUCGACGAUCAACGAGCUUGAGCUUGCCGAUCAACCUAUCUACUGCUCCGGUCGUGGCUGCCGUUUGGAUUUCGUGGGUGCUGGUUUGAUCUAAAGCAGGAAUCAAUGUUCUUGUCCCUUGUUUUCUUCUUCAAUUCAAUGGUUUAAUCGCUUCGAGCUUUGUGUAGUGAUCAGUUCUUGUUCUAGGAUGUGAUACAUGCCUGCUUUGGAUAAAUAUUUGGGAGACCUCGCCUAGUGUUUAAAAAUGGUCAAAGAAGAAGAUUGCUCUGAUAGCAAUGCAUGUUCAAAAUGCUGAAGUGAUCAAUCAAAA